rnacentral:rRNA from 1 species
GACGAACGCUGGCGGCGGGCUUAACACAUGCAAGUCGAACGGAAAGGCCCUGCUUUUGUGUGGUGCUCGAGUGGCGAACGGGUGAGUAACACGUGAGUAACCUGCCCUUGACUUUGGGAUAACUUCAGGAAACUGGGGCUAAUACCGGAUAGGAGCUCCUGCUGCAUGGUGGGGGUUGGAAAGUUUCGGCGGUUGGGGAUGGACUCGCGGCUUAUCAGCUUGUUGGUGGGGUAGUGGCUUACCAAGGCUUUGACGGGUAGCCGGCCUGAGAGGGUGACCGGCCACAUUGGGACUGCGGUACGGACCAGACUCCUACGGGAGGCAGCAGUGGGGAAUAUUGCACAAUGGGCGGAAGCCUGAUGCAGCAGCGCCGCGUGCGGGAUGACGGCCUUCGGGUUGUAAACCGCUUUAGCCUGUGACGAAGCGUGAGUGACGGUAAUGGGUAAAGAAGCACCGGCUAACUACGUG